AUCGCUUCUUGGCCUUCUGGCUAAGAUCAAGUGUAGUAUCUGUUCUUAGCAGUUUAAAAACGAAUGGAUAAAAGACACUACCAUAAACUGAAAUGUCUGGGAAGUGUAAGUUGAGUAAAGGCAGGAGAUGUAUCUUCUCUUUGCUUCUGUCUACUUUUCCUCUCCGCAGAGAAUAUGGGAGGACCAUAC